rnacentral:rRNA from 1 species
CAAUAGCGUAUAUUAAAGUUGUUGCAGUUAAAAAGCUCGUAGUUGGAUUUCGGGGCAGCCUGGCUGGUCCGCCGCAAGGCGAGUACUGGUCAGCCGCCCUUCCUCUCGAAAGCCCCGACUGCUCUUCGUUGCAGUGGUCGGGUAGUUCGGGACGUUUACUUUGAAAAAAUUAGAGUGUUCAAGGCAGGCCUACGCCUGAAUACAUUAGCAUGGAAUAAUGGAAGAGGACCUCGGUCCUAUUUUGUUGGUUUCCAGGGCCGAAGUAAUGAUUAAGAGGGACAGUUGGGGGCAUUCGUAUUUAAUUGUCAGAGGUGAAAUUCUCGGAUUUAUGAAAGACGAACAACUGCGAAAGCAUUUGCCAAGGAUGUUCUCAUUAA